CAGCUCAGCACUGCAGAAUGAGGCGGCCAUUUUCAGUGUGUCCACAGAGAGGCGCUGUGGCUCCACACAAAACCUCCCUCCGUUUUGCCCAUAGACUAUACCGUCUAUGGUUUUGCCUGGACGUCAUUUUUCGGUGUACCUGAGCGUCCACCUGCUCUGCUAAGUUCUGCUCACUCCCCCACCCAGAUACUAAUUGUGUGGGGAGGUAAACAUAGCAGUCAAGUGGAGAGGACGGCGAGUCAAGCGUGAAUAUCAAUCUCCCCACAUCAGUGUCAUCAGAUGACUUUGACUGAGUUGAGGCGGGCUCAUUAGAGCGCUGGAGCAGCGUGCCGCAGGCCGCAAUAACAUCCAGGUGGAGGCCUCCGAAGUUAUGGAAGCCUGCAGAGCUCUCUAACAGCUGCCUGGCUUACCUGUAUCUCCAGCUUCAUCAACCUCCUGAUGAAACCCAAACUGGCCCUUCUGCUGAUAAGCUCUCCAGGCUCUACCUGCCGUCUCCUGCUGCUGCCACACAUCACUUCAGGAAACUGAUGAACUGUACCAACCUCAGAUUAACCUCCCACCCCGUCUUUCUUUUUCUGCAAUCCCAGACCAUCACUGGAGGUUCCAGAAGAUCAAGCGUAAAGAGGAAGAAAGAUAUCAGAUAACAAGGCAGCGUGGAGGCACAAGCACGUGGUGUCACAUGCUUGGCGCUGCAACCACCGAGAAUGAAGUGACAGGCCACGGCGGAGCACAGGGACAGAAUCAAGAGUGGUGGCUUGGCCUUUAUAUCCAAUAGGAUCUUGGUUAGAGUAUACACCCCGCGGCUCUGAUGUCCUCUAUCUGCAGGUCCCUGUGGCUCCGUGGCAACGGGAGACUUGACGGCAGGACGGGGCAGCAAUUAUUCUCACUUCUGUUGGACGUUGGGCUCAGGCUCUUCUUGGUUGAUGCUCAAGAACACAAAUUGCCUUUUUGUUCAAAAGGCAAAAGUUGAAAUGUUUACAUCUCUUGAAACUUAUAACCUAAUCAUUAAAGGUGCCCUGCCACACAAA